GCCGGGCAUGGUGGCGCAUGCCUGUAGUCCCAGCUACUCGGGAGGCUGAGGCAGGAGGAUCGCUUGAGCCCAGGAGUUUGAGGUUGCUGUGAGCUAGGCUGACGCCACGGCACUCUAGCCCAGGCAACACAGUGAGACUCUGUCUCAAAAAAAAAAAACAAAAACAAUUCAGGCUUGUAAUCACAGCACAUUAGGAGCUGGAUCGCCUGAGCACAGGAGUUUGAGGCUGUAGUGAGCUACGAUUGUGCCACUGCACUCCUGCCUGGGCAACAGAGAAAGAUUCUGUCUCA
rnacentral:sRNA from 1 species